UACGUAGGGUGCGAGCGUUAUCCGGAAUUAUUGGGCGUAAAGAGCUCGUAGGCGGUCUGUCGCGUCUGCUGUGAAAACUGGGGGCUCAACCCCCAGCCUGCAGUGGGUACGGGCAGACUAGAGUGCGGUAGGGGAGAUUGGAACUCCUGGUGUAGCGGUGGAAUGCGCAGAUAUCAGGAAGAACACCGAUGGCGAAGGCAGAUCUCUGGGCCGUAACUGACGCUGAGGAGCGAAAGCAUGGGGAGCGAACAGG
rnacentral:rRNA from 1 species